rnacentral:rRNA from 1 species
UAGGGAAUCUUCGGCAAUGGACGAAAGUCUGACCGAGCAACGCCGCGUGAGUGAAGAAGGUUUUCGGGUCGUAAAGCACUGUUGGUAGAGAAGAACGUUGGUGAGAGUGGAAAGCUCAUCAAGUGACGGUAACUACCCAGAAAGGGACGGCUAACUACGUGUCAG